CCACCGCCGGCCCUGACCAGCAAGCAGCCCGGUCAGUGCAGGCAAAGGGCUUAAACCCGCAGUUACCCUUUAAAGCUCAGGCUCAUUGAGAAAAGGCAGCCGCGGGCGCUCCGCUCCCCGUCGGGGCGUGAUGUCAGCGGGAGGCGCUCAGAAGCGGAGCCCGAUUGACCCGCAUGGACGGUGCCUGACAUCCGAAUCACCCGCCAUGUGAAACCAAGGACUGACGACAGAAGUAAAAGCGGAGAACAAUGAAAUGAGGAGACUCAUCCUGCCCAUUGAAGCUGGAGAGGAGCAGGAUGCGCUGACCCGUGUCGCCCUCUAGUGGCCACCAUUUUAAACAUUUAAAAUUUACUAUUGAUAUUA